rnacentral:rRNA from 1 species
AACGAACGCUGGCGGCAUGCCUAACACAUGCAAGUCGAACGAGAUCUUCGGGUCUAGUGGCGCACGGGUGCGUAACGCGUGGGAAUCUGCCCUUUGGUUCGGAAUAACAGUUGGAAACGACUGCUAAUACCGGAUGAUGACGAAAGCCCAAAGAUUUAUCGCCAGAGGAUGAGCCCGCGUAGGAUUAGCUAGUUGGUGUGGUAAAGGCGCACCAAGGCGACGAUCCUUAGCUGGUCUGAGAGGAUGAUCAGCCACACUGGGACUGAGACACGGCCCAGACUCCUACGGGAGGCAGCAGUGGGGAAUAUUGGACAAUGGGCGAAAGCCUGAUCCAGCAAUGCCGCGUGAGUGAUGAAGGCCUUAGGGUUGAAAAGCUCUUUUACCCGGGAUGAUAAUGACAGUACCGGGAGAAUAAGCUCCGGCUAACUCCGUGCCAGCCGCCGCGGUAA